UAGUGAGAGCAGCUGAUGUUGGGGAGGACAGACAAAUGUGUUGUAAAUUAUUACUGAUGCAGUCAGAAACUCUCCAACCUCUUUGCAACCUGCAGCUUUGGCUUUUUUAUCCAGCGCCCAGCAAAGUAACUUUAAAAAAUAAAAGGACCAAUAUUUCAGUGUAAAAAUGCUCAGCAGGUGAUCAGAAAUGACGUCAUAACAGGAAACCAGAAUAAUCCAGGAGAUCAUUUCCAUGGAUGGAAAGAAUGAGAUCAAUAAGUUAUUGAUUUCCAGUAUUGAUCAAGAAGAAAGCUGAAAGAAACCAAAUGUGUUGAUCACUCAGAACAAAGAAAUGCAGCUUUAAUAGUUUGGAUCAAUGAAAGAUUGAUGCUCAGUUCUCUUCACAUCAUGUUGAAGCCGUUUGGAAAGAAAAGUGGGCUCAGAGUCGGCAGAAGAAAAGGCCAAAUAUUGAUGAAGCAGGAAGAGCAGUUUGGGAUCAGAUCCAGAUCAGAUGUUUGUGUGUCUCGGUGUUCUGGACUGAUGUUGAACAUGUGGAGCUGAGAUUCAUUUACAGAACAGAGAUGAAAACAUUUGAAAGCUUCUUCUCUUCAAAGUUCAGCUUUAGAUCCAGAAAUGUAAAAGUCCAGCAGCUCAACACUGACAGGAGACAUUACUGUGAAGCAGCACAUGGACAAAACAAUCCCAGCAGCAUCAAGACUCUGAUCAUCUCCAACAGCUUCCUGUGUUUCUGUCCCCUGUUAGCUGCUGCUCUCAUCUGCUUCUGUCAAUAAAGUUAUUCAAACUGCUGCUGCUGUCUGUGCAGCUCAUGUUCUGCUUUGUUGUCCUCUCAGUCUGUCAGGUGGAGGUGGAGGAGGGGGCGGAGUCUGUCCUGCUGCCCUGCAAGACCACAGACAACCUGCCUCAGGACGUCAGAGUGGAUCCACUAUGAUCCCUAUAGACGGUCCACGUGUAUCAGAACGGCUCUGACCAACAGGACCAGGUUUACAGAGACCGAACAGAGAUGAAGGAAGACCUGCUGAGAACUGGAGACCUCAGUCUGACCCUGAAAUCCCCCACAGACAGAGACGGAGGACAUACUGGUGCAAGUCUACGACAAGAAGGGAGUCCUCAUGAGAUGGAAAUCAGUUGAUCUCAGGGUCAAAGAGAGAAGCAGGAACAGAAGCAGCUCCGCUGAUCCAACUCCUCUGAUGGCCGAUCAAUCUGUUUGAUCUUUGAUCAUUGAUCCGAUCUGACUCUGGAUCAGAGAGAAAAUGGAGGUGAAGCAGCUGAUGGAGGACGGAUGAAGACAGGAGGACGCUUUGUCAGCUUCUUCACUCUGACUCCUCCUACUGACUCUCACACACAGUCUACACACUCACUAUUGAUUCCUGCUGAUCAGUGAUGUCAGAGUGAGGUCAGCGUGAUGUCACAUGGCUUGAACGGGCGUGUUUCCUGUGAACCUCCCAGCGGCUGGAUAACAGCUGCGGCUCUCUGGAUAUUUGUGGCUCGUUCUAAUGCGUGCAGUCAAACAAACUUUAUUUCUACAGACACAGAGAAGUCAGCAGCUGCAGGAAAUCAGAACCACUGACAGGAAGUUAAGAGUCAAGUUAAACCACAUGUCAGAACUUUCUACAGCAGCAGGAUUUAGAAGAUGCUGGAAGCUGCUGUCUUUAGAUUUUGGACCCGUCACAAUUUGUCACAUUUUCUGAAGCCACAACAAAUCUUGUUGAAAGGAAACAGUUGAUUGAAGGUCCAGUUUCAAACGAAGAGUCAAAGCUUCUCUUUGUGUCGACUCCUUUAAUGAGAACAUUGAAAAGGACUCGAGUCCAAGUCUCAAGUGUCCAGCUCAGAUUAUUCCAGCACCAACCCUGGCAGGAUGCAAGUUAAACAGAAAGCAACACAUUUAGUGACAGAACAGAAAGCAGCCAGCUGUUAAAAUGGACUCAGAGAAUGAAGACACAAUAAGAUUUGAUUCAGUCAGACUUUCACAAGAACAAAGGUUUGUUCAGCCUGAACACAAAUGUGGUCUGUAGUGUUUUUGUAGUCCCUGUUUAUUCAGCGCCUCUUCCUCCUCACUACACACUGGAUCAAAGCACAGCAGUUAAACCCAGAGGCCUCCAGUGGACCUGGUUCAGGCCUCUGAAACAUCUGGACUCUGUGAUCUUUGUCUUCCAGCGUUGACAUUUGGAGCAGGUAUAAACAGACGUCACGUGAUCUAGUUUGUUUGAAGCGUACCGAGUCCUUCAGACGUUGAUCUCAGAACUCAGCAGAAACUCCACUUCUUUAGUCUCUUUCCUCCAGGUUCUGGUUUUUCUCGUCUCUCUGUUCAUUCCUCAAAGAUAAAGCUGGAUUUUUCAUUGAAGCUGAAACAUUUCAGUAAAUAUGCCAGAUUUAGCCAGAAGGCUGUUUUUCAUCUGUAGUCAGUACAAGUCAACACAAAACAGACAACAUAGUAAAACCAACCCAGGGACCAGUAGACUCCAGCACAAUAUACUAGCAGUCAUUAUGUUCCAGUACACAGGUCAUGAACUGUUACCAGAGGAAAUCAGAAGCUUACAGUAAUCUGUUGGACUCAAAGAUGUUAUGUUAUUAAAGUGCUGUUUAUGCACUCAGAUCUAAUUCAAUAAUCUGGUUUCCUGCAGCGGUUUGAAGCCAAAAUAAACAUUUUGCUGUGAUUUCAUUUCAAUAAACUGAUCAAAAUGAU